rnacentral:rRNA from 1 species
GAUGAACGCUGGCGGCGUGCCUAAUACAUGCCAGUCGAGCGAACAGACGAGGAGCUUGCUCCUCUGACGUUAGCGGCGGACGGGUGAGUAACACGUGGAUAACCUACCUAUAAGACUGGGAUAACUUCGGGAAACCGGAGCUAAUACCGGAUAAUAUAUUGAACCGCGUGGUUCAAUAGUGAAAGACGGUUUUGCUGUCACUUAUAGAUGGAUCCGCGCCGCAUUAGCUAGUUGGUAAGGUAACGGCUUACCAAGGCAACGAUGCGUAGCCGACCUGAGAGGGUGAUCGGCCACACUGGAACUGAGACACGGUCCAGACUCCUACGGGAGGCAGCAGUAGGGAAUCUUCCGCAAUGGGCGAAAGCCUGACGGAGCAACGCCGCGUGAGUGAUGAAGGUCUUCGGAUCGUAAAACUCUGUUAUUAGGGAAGAACAAAUGUGUAAGUAACUAUGCACGUCUUGACGGUACCUAAUCAGAAAGCCACGGCUAACUACGUG